CCGUGAGGGAAAGAUGAAAAGAACUUUGAAAAGAGAGUUAAAAAGUACGUGAAACCGUUGAAAGGGAAACGAAUGGAGUUAGCAAUGCACUCUGCAAGAUUCAGCCGGUGGGUGGCUCGGACGGGCGGUUGGCGGAUCUGAAUGGACCGCCGUCGUCCGGCUCUUUGUUCCCSUCCGUCGCACUUCUUGCGAGUGCGCGUCAACGUCGGUUCGGAUCCAGUUUUAAGGCUCGCGGGAAGGUAGGUCGGACGCUUCGGCGCCCUUCUGUUACAGCCUGCGUUCCGAUGACCGGGACCGGACCGAGGCGUCGCAGCGCAUGCCUCUUGUGGCUAGGGUCCCUUCGCKCCGGUCGGUUGUCGACUGUGGUGGACUGCGUGCAGUGCACCCGAACUGCUGCCGGUCGCCGCGGAGGUGACUUCGUACAAUGCGCUCAGGACGUUGGCGGUCAUAUGACUUCAUCCGACCCGUCUUGAAACACGGACCAAGGAGUCUAGCCUGUGCGCGAGUCUUAGGGUGAUGGAAACCCAGAGGCGCAAUGAAAGUGAAAGCGGCCUGGCCGCCGAGGUGAGAACCUCUCCUCCGGGGGAGGCGCAUCAUUGACCGAUCUAUUCUACUCUUAGGAAGAUUUGAGUAAGAGCGCAUACGCUGGGACCCGAAAGAUGGUGAACUAUGCCUGAAUAGGGUGAGGCCAGAGG
rnacentral:rRNA from 1 species